GUCACAGGCUCCACCACUCGAAGAGUGGGGGCGUCGGCCUUUGUGGUCGGCGCUUGCUGUGACCAGCACCAGCCAUCACCAAGAAGGAGGUGACCUUGAUGGCUACGUUCCGUACAGGGCAGCAGACCCACCCGACUGUGCUUCCUCAGCAGUCGGCUCUGGAACCCGGCUCAGCAGACAACCUCGGGAGCAUGGACGAAACGGGAGCCGGGCGCCACAACACGGCAGCCGGUACGGGACAUGUGCGAGGGGAGACGCUUGGCAGUUCACCUGCU
rnacentral:sRNA from 1 species